rnacentral:rRNA from 1 species
UUCGCAAUGCCCGAAAGGGUGACGAAGCGACGCCGCGUGCGGGAAGAAGGCCUUCGGGUUGUAAACCGCUGUCGGGAGUUAAGAAAUGCAAGGAUGUUAAUAGCGUCUUUGCUUGACUAAGGCUCCGGAGGAAGCCACGGCUAACUCUGUGCCAGCAGCCGCGGUAAUACAGAGGCGGCAAGCGUUGUUCGGAAUUAUUGGGCGUAAAGAGCACGUAGGCGGCUGUGUAAGCCGGUUGUGAAAGCCUUCCGCUCAACGGAAGAACGGCAUCCGAUACUGCAUGGCUUGAGUGCGGGAGGGGAGAGUGGAACUUCUGGUGGAGCGGUGAAAUGCGUAGAUAUCAGAAGGAACACCGGCGGCGAAGGCGACUCUCUGGCCCGUAACUGACGCUGAGUGUGCGAAAGCUAGGGGAGCAAACGGGAUUAGAUGCCCCGGUAGUCCUAGCCGUAAACGAUGGGCACUAAGUAGAGGGGUUUU